UACGUAGGGUGCAAGCGUUAUCCGGAAUUAUUGGGCGUAAAGAGCUCGUAGGCGGUUUGUCGCGUCUGCUGUGAAAACUCGGGGCUUAACCCCGAGCCUGCAGUGGAUACGGGCAGACUAGAGGUAGGUAGGGGAGAAUGGAAUUCCCGGUGUAGCGGUGAAAUGCGCAGAUAUCGGGAGGAACACCGGUGGCGAAGGCGGUUCUCUGGGCCUUACCUGACGCUGAGGAGCGAAAGCGUGGGGAGCGAACAGG
rnacentral:rRNA from 1 species